AUUGAACGCUGGCGGCAGGCCUAACACAUGCAAGUCGAACGGUAACAGGAAGAAGCUUGCUUCUUUGCUGACGAGUGGCGGACGGGUGAGUAAUGUCUGGGAAACUGCCUGAUGGAGGGGGAUAACUACUGGAAACGGUAGCUAAUACCGCAUAACGUCGCAAGACCAAAGAGGGGGACCUUCGGGCCUCUUGCCAUCGGAUGUGCCCAGAUGGGAUUAGCUAGUAGGUGGGGUAACGGCGCACCUGGGCGACGAUCCCUAGCUGGUCUGAGAGGAUGACCAGCCACACUGGAACUGAGACACGGUCCAGACUCCUACGGGAGGCAGCAGUGGGGAAUAUUGCACAAUGGGCGCAAGCCUGAUGCAGCCAUGCCGCGUGUAUGAAGAAGGCCUUCGGGUUGUAAAGUACUUUCAGCGGGGAGGAAGGGAGUAAAGUUAAUACCUUUGCUCAUUGACGUUACCCGCAGAAGAAGCACCGGCUAACUCCGUG
rnacentral:rRNA from 1 species